rnacentral:rRNA from 1 species
AUUAAAAUAUUUAAUUAAUAUUAAUUGACCCGAAAGCAAACGAUAAAUUUAAUAAAUUUAAUAUAACUAUUAAUAGAAUUAGGUUACUAAUAAAUUAAUAACAAUUAAUUUUAAAACCUAAAGGUAAACCUUUAUAUUAAUAAUGUUUUUUUUUAUUAUAUUUAUAAUAAGAAUAAUUAUUAAUAAUAAUAAACUAAGUGAACUGAAACAUCUAAGUAACUUAAGGAUAAGAAAUCAACAGAGAUAUUAUGAGUAUUGGUGAGAGAAAAUAAUAAAGGUCUAAUAAGUAUUAUGUGAAAAAAAUGUAAGAAAAUAGGAUAACAAAUUCUAAGACUAAAUACUAUUAAUAAGUAUAGUAAGUACCGUAAGGGAAAGUAUGAAAAUGAUUAUUUUAUAAGCAAUCAUGAAUAUAUUAUAUUAUAUUAAUGAUGUACCUUUUGUAUAAUGGGUCAGCAAGUAAUUAAUAUUAGUAAAACAAUAAGUUAUAAAUAAAUAGAAUAAUAUAUAUAUAUAUAAAAAUAUAUUAAAAUAUUUAAUUAAUAUUAAUUGACCCGAAAGCAAACGAUCUAACUAUGAUAAGAUGGAUAAACGAUCGAACAGGUUGAUGUUGCAAUAUCAUCUGAUUAAUUGUGGUUAGUAGUGAAAGACAAAUCUGGUUUGCAGAUAGCUGGUUUUCUAUGAAAUAUAUGUAAGUAUAGCCUUUAUAAAUAAUAAUUAUUAUAUAAUAUUAUAUUAAUAUUAUAUAAAGAAUGGUACAGCAAUUAAUAUAUAUUAGGGAACUAUUAAAGUUUUAUUAAUAAUAUUAAAUCUCGAAAUAUUUAAUUAUAUAUAAUAAAGAGUCAGAUUAUGUGCGAUAAGGUAAAUAAUCUAAAGGGAAACAGCCCAGAUUAAGAUAUAAAGUUCCUAAUAAAUAAUAAGUGAAAUAAAUAUUAAAAUAUUAUAAUAUAAUCAGUUAAUGGGUUUGACAAUAACCAUUUUUUAAUGAACAUGUAACAAUGCACUGAUUUAUAAUAAAUAAAAAAAAUAAUAUUUAAAAUCAAAUAUAUAUAUAUAUAUUUGUUAAUAGAUAAUAUACGGAUCUUAAUAAUAAGAAUUAUUUAAUUCCUAAUAUGGAAUAUUAUAUUUUUAUAAUAAAAAUAUAAAUACUGAAUAUCUAAAUAUUAUUAUUACUUUUUUUUUUAAUAAUAAUAAUAUGGUAAUAGAACAUUUAAUGAUAAUAUAUAUUAGUUAUUAAUUAAUAUAUGUAUUAAUUAAAUAGAGAAUGCUGACAUGAGUAACGAAAAAAAGGUAUAAACCUUUUCACCUAAAACAUAAGGUUUAACUAUAAAAGUACGGCCCCUAAUUAAAUUAAUAAGAAUAUAAAUAUAUUUAAGAUGGGAUAAUCUAUAUUAAUAAAAAUUUUAUCUUAAAAUAUAUAUAUUAUUAAUAAUUAUAUUAAUAAUAUAUAUAAUUAUAUUAUAUAUUUUUUUUAUAUAAUAUAAACUAAUAAAGAUCAGGAAAUAAUUAAUGUAUACCGUAAUGUAGACCGACUCAGGUAUGUAAGUAGAGAAUAUGAAGGUGAAUUAGAUAAUUAAAGGGAAGGAACUCGGCAAAGAUAGCUCAUAAGUUAGUCAAUAAAGAGUAAUAAGAACAAAGUUGUACAACUGUUUACUAAAAACACCGCACUUUGCAGAAACGAUAAGUUUAAGUAUAAGGUGUGAACUCUGCUCCAUGCUUAAUAUAUAAAUAAAAUUAUUUAACGAUAAUUUAAUUAAAUUUAGGUAAAUAGCAGCCUUAUUAUGAGGGUUAUAAUGUAGCGAAAUUCCUUGGCCUAUAAUUGAGGUCCCGCAUGAAUGACGUAAUGAUACAACAACUGUCUCCCCUUUAAGCUAAGUGAAAUUGAAAUCGUAGUGAAGAUGCUAUGUACCUUCAGCAAGACGGAAAGACCCUAUGCAGCUUUACUGUAAUUAGAUAGAUCGAAUUAUUGUUUAUUAUAUUCAGCAUAUUAAGUAAUCCUAUUAUUAGGUAAUCGUUUAGAUAUUAAUGAGAUACUUAUUAUAAUAUAAUGAUAAUUCUAAUCUUAUAAAUAAUUAUUAUUAUUAUUAUUAAUAAUAAUAAUAUGCUUUCAAGCAUAGUGAUAAAACAUAUUUAUAUGAUAAUCACUUUACUUAAUAGAUAUAAUUCUUAAGUAAUAUAUAAUAUAUAUUUUAUAUAUAUUAUAUAUAAUAUAAGAGACAAUCUCUAAUUGGUAGUUUUGAUGGGGCGUCAUUAUCAGCAAAAGUAUCUGAAUAAGUCCAUAAAUAAAUAUAUAAAAUUAUUGAAUAAAAAAAAAUAAUAUAUAUUAUAUAUAUUAAUUAUAAAUUGAAAUAUGUUUAUAUAAAUUUAUAUUUAUUGAAUAUAUUUUAGUAAUAGAUAAAAAUAUGUACAGUAAAAUUGUAAGGAAAACAAUAAUAACUUUCUCCUCUCUCGGUGGGGGUUCACACCUAUUUUUAAUAGGUGUUCACCCCUCUUCGGGGUUCCGGUUCCCUUUCGGGUCCCGGAACUUAAAAAAAUGGAAAGAAUUAAAUUAAUAUAAUGGUAUAACUGUGCGAUAAUUGUAACACAAACGAGUGAAACAAGUACGUAAGUAUGGCAUAAUGAACAAAUAACACUGAUUGUAAAGGUUAUUGAUAACGAAUAAAAGUUACGCUAGGGAUAACAGGGUAAUAUAACGAAAGAGUAGAUAUUGUAAGUUAUGUUUGCCACCUCGAUGUCGACUCAACAUUUCCUCUUGGUUGUAAAAGCUAAGAAGGGUUUGACUGUUCGUCAAUUAAAAUGUUACGUGAGUUGGGUUAAAUACGAUGUGAAUCAGUAUGGUUCCUAUCUGCUGAAGGAAAUAUUAUCAAAUUAAAUCUCAUUAUUAGUACGCAAGGACCAUAAUGAAUCAACCCAUGGUGUAUCUAUUGAUAAUAAUAUAAUAUAUUUAAUAAAAAUAAUACUUUAUUAAUAUAUUAUCUAUAUUAGUUUAUAUUUUAAUUAUAUAUUAUCAUAGUAGAUAAGCUAAGUUGAUAAUAAAUAAAUAUUGAAUACAUAUUAAAUAUGAAGUUGUUUUAAUAAGAUAAUUAAUCUGAUAAUUUUAUACUAAAAUUAAUAAUUAUAGGUUUUAUAUAU